ensembl:snRNA U2 U2 spliceosomal RNA
AUAUCUUCUCCAGCCUUUUGGCUAUGAUCAAGUGUAGAAUAUCUUCUCAUUAGGAUAAUGGGGUUCAAUAAAAGAGUGUUCCAUCAUUCCCCAUAAGAGAACAGAGUGGAACAUUUUACUAAUGAUAAUCAUUUAGUGAUUCAUUUUCUCUUUUUCAGAUCUUGUUAAUUCAU